rnacentral:rRNA from 1 species
AUUGAACGCUGGCGGCAUGCCUAACACAUGCAAGUCGAACGGCAGCACGGUCUAGUUUACUAGAUGGGUGGCGAGUGGCGGACGGGUGAGUAAUGCGCAGGAAUAUGCCUUAAAGAGGGGGAUAACUUGGGGAAACUCAAGCUAAUACCGCAUAAUCUCUAUGGAGAAAAGCUGGGGACCUUCGGGCCUGGCGCUUUAAGAUUAGCCUGCGUCCGACUAGCUAGUUGGUAGGGUAAAGGCCUACCAAGGCGACGAUCGGUAGCUGGUCUGAGAGGAUGACCAGCCAAACUGGAACGGAGACACGGGCCAGACUCCUACGGGAGGCAGCAGUGGGGAAGAUUGGACAAUGGGGGCAACCCUGAUCCAGCAAUGCCGCGUGUGUGAAGAAGGCCUGAGGGUUGUAAAGCACUUUCAGUGGGGAGGAGGAUUGCUAGGUUAAGAGCUAGGUAAUUGGACGUUACCCACAGAAGAAGCACCGGCUAACUCCGUGCCAGCAGCCGCGGUAA